AUUGAACGCUGGCGGCAGGCUUAACACAUGCAAGUCGAGCGGUAACAUUUCUAGCUUGCUAGAAGAUGACGAGCGGCGGACGGGUGAGUAAUACUUAGGAAUCUACCUAGUAGUGGGGGAUAGCUCGGGGAAACUCGAAUUAAUACCGCAUACGACCUACGGGAGAAAGGGGGCAGUUUACUGCUCUCGCUAUUAGAUGAGCCUAAGUCGGAUUAGCUAGAUGGUGGGGUAAAGGCCUACCAUGGCGACGAUCUGUAGCUGGUCUGAGAGGAUGAUCAGCCACACCGGGACUGAGACACGGCCCGGACUCCUACGGGAGGCAGCAGUGGGGAAUAUUGGACAAUGGGGGGAACCCUGAUCCAGCCAUGCCGCGUGUGUGAAGAAGGCCUUUUGGUUGUAAAGCACUUUAAGCAGUGAAGAAGACUCCAUGGUUAAUACCCGUGGACGAUGACAUUAGCUGCAG
rnacentral:rRNA from 1 species